rnacentral:pre_miRNA from 1 species
AGAAGGAACAUCCUCAGUGCAGGCGGCAGCUCUGCAGCCCUGGAGUCAGCUCCAGCAGUAACUACAGAGCUCUCCGUCUGCAGAGCCUGGAGGCUCCAGGCGGGG